rfam:Bombyx mori DNA, contig: Bm_scaf196_contig41406, strain: p50T/Dazao, build 2, whole genome shotgun sequence.
AAACCUAACAGAUGCGAGACCAUGGUAUGUGGAAAUAAAAGCCACCCGGUUUUUAUCUUUCCACACCAAAAGAUCCACAUCUCCCGAGGUG